AGCGAACGCUGGCGGCAGGCUUAACACAUGCAAGUCGAGCGGGCAUCUUCGGAUGUCAGCGGCAGACGGGUGAGUAACACGUGGGAACGUACCCUUCGGUUCGGAACAACUCUGGGAAACUGGAGCUAAUACCGGAUACGCCCUUAGGGGGAAAGGUUUCCGGCCAAAGAAUCGGCCCGCGUCGGAUUGGCUAGUUGGUGGGGUAACGGCCUACCAAGGCGACGAUCAGUAGCUGGUCUGAGAGGAUGAUCAGCCACACUGGGACUGAGACACGGCCCAGACUCCUACGGGGGGCAGCAGUGGGGAAUAUUGGACAAUGGGCGCAAGCCUGAUCCAGCCAUGCCGCGUGAGUGAUGAAGGCCUUAGGGUUGUAAAGCUCUUUUGUCCGGGACGAUAAUGACGGUACCGGAAGAAUAAGCCCCGGCUAACUUCGUG
rnacentral:rRNA from 1 species